GGAGCAUGGGGUCUAGAGAAACUCUUUUGGGACUUUCUUGUCUUUAGAAAAGUUCGAGCAAUUUUGGGAGGUCAUAUCCGAUUUCUACUUUCGGGAGGGGCUCCUCUCUCCGGGGAUACACAAAGAUUCAUCAACAUAUGCCUUGGGGCUCCAAUAGGACAAGGAUACGGUCUGACAGAAACCUGUGCUGGUGGAACCUUUUCUGAAUAUGAUGACACAUCUGUUGGCCGUGUUGGUGCUCCUCUUCCUUGCUCAUACAUUAAGUUGAUUGAUUGGCCAGAAGGUGGUUAUUUAAGCACUGAUUCUCCGAUGCCUCGUGGGGAGAUAAUCAUUGGAGGCCCAAAUGUCACCCCAGGGUAUUUCAAGAAUGAAGAGAAGACCAAGGAAGUGUACAAGGUUGACAAAAGGGGGAUGCAUUGGUUCUACACUGGGGACAUCGGUCAAUUCCAUCCCGAUGGUUGUCUUGAAAUCAUUGAUCGUAAAAAGGAUAUUGUUAAACUUCAACAUGGAGAAUAUGUUUCUCUGGGAAAGGUUGAGGCUGCUCUCAGCGUGUGCCCUUAUGUCGACAACAUCAUGGUUCACGCUGAUCCUUUUCACAGCAAUUGUGUGGCUAUUGUGGUAGCUGCACGUGCUGCACUGGAAAACUGGGCUUCAAAGCAAGGAAUCACAUAUACUGAUUUUGCAGAUUUAUGUCAGAAAGAAGAAACCGUGAAAGAAGUGCAAGCAUCAUUAGCAAAGGCUGCGAAACAAGAGCGGUUGGAGAGAUUUGAGAUUCCAUCCA
rnacentral:misc_RNA from 1 species